UGGAGAAAAUAACCAUGAUUAACCAACCCAAAAGUGGAGUUAAAUAAAUGUCCACAAAUGUGGCCACCAUGCAUGAAAGGCAACAUUCAAUAGUAA